rnacentral:rRNA from 1 species
UAGGGAAUCUUCGGCAAUGGGGGCAACCCUGACCGAGCAACGCCGCGUGAGUGAAGAAGGUUUUCGGAUCGUAAAGCUCUGUUGUAAGAGAAGAACGUGUGUGAGAGUGGAAAGUUCACACAGUGACGGUAACUUACCAGAAAGGGACGGCUAACUACGUGCCAGCAGCCGCGGUAAUACGUAGGUCCCGAGCGUUGUCCGGAUUGAUUGGGCGUAAAGCGAGCGCAGGCGGUUGAAUAAGUCUGAAGUUAAAGGCAGUGGCUUAACCAUUGUUUGCUUUGGAAACUGUUAAACUUGAGUGACGAAGGAGAGAGUGGAAUUCCAUGUCUAGCGGUGAAAUGCGUAGAUAUAUGGGGGAACCCCGGUGGCGAAAGCUGCUCUCUGGUCUGUAACUGACGCUGAGGCUCGAAAGCGUGAGGAGCAAACAGG